rnacentral:lncRNA from 1 species
UGAGCAACCUGCUGAAUGAAAUAAUUAUAGAAAACUUUCCAGAAAUAAAAAAGGAAACGGAUAUACAAAUUGUAGAUGCAUACAGGACACCGAGCAUACAAAAUCACAGUAGACCAACACCAAGACACAUUGUUAUGAAGAUAUCCAAUAUACAGAACAAAGAGAAAAUAUUAAAAGCUACAAGAGAAAGGAGGCAGAUUACAUUUAGGGGUAAACCAAUAAGGUU